rnacentral:lncRNA from 1 species
CUUUUAUUUUUUUUUUAUUUUUUUAUUUUUUCAACAUCCCCCUUUUAAAAGGCUGGGCACAAGGUGGUAAGUGGCAUGUAAAGACUGGACCUAGGCACUUUGACUUUUUCCAUCCACACUUGACCUUAUGUUAUACUUAAUGGUCCUUAUGAACUUUAUUUUUUCUUCCUGUCAAUACUCUAUGACACAGGGCUAUCAUUUAUUUGACUCCUUAUUCCCCAUGACAUCUACCUGUGGACAUGGGCACUCAUUACCUAUGCUUGUUGGAAAAAAGAGUGUGUAUUCUGGGAUUUGAGAUGAAGUUUAUUCAGGUUUUUGAGGGGAGGUGGGUAAGGCUCACCUGGAGGUUUCUCAACUGAUCCUAGCUGCAGAGCCACUUGCAAAAAGACUGGGUAGAGUAUAAGUCACUUCUGUAGGCAGAGCCCCUGCUACGUCCUGGGCCACAGCUGUUAGCUCUGGCUGCCUGAUUGAAUUUCGCUCCUUGGCUUCUCUCUGUUGUGUAGAUUUAUGCUGUGGGCUAAACUCUUCUGACCUCAGUUCAUUUUCCUAAACUCAGUUUCUCUCUUGACUAAAUUCCUGUAACUUCCAUUUUUCCUGGUUUAGGAUCCUUUGCCCUUUUACUCUUCAGCCUUGUUCUGCCAUCAUCCAUAUUACUCCAUAGGCUAUCACAAUGCUGUAAUUAUAUAAGACAGGGUAUCUCAACCUUGGCACCAUUGACAUUUUGUGUGGGAUAAUUCCUUGUGAGAGGCUGCCCUGUGUGUGGUAGGAAUUUAGCAGCAUCCCUUGGCGUUUACUUACUAAAUGCCAGUAACACCUCUACCCCUAGCUGUGGCAACAAAAAACAUGUCUGGACUGUGCCAAAUGUCCCAGGAGACACAAAAUCUGCUCUGAUUGAGAAUCACUGACAUAAGGCUACAACUAAGAGGGAACUUAGAGAUCAAUUAGAUGGUCUCUCUCAUUUCACAAAUGAGGUCACUGAGGCCCAGAGUAGGAGAUAUGUUGCCAAGGUCAUAGCACAAAUUGGCAGUGAUGUAGGCAAAAGGCUUCCUAUUUUUUUUUUUUUUUCAAUCUCAGUCUAGUGCUUUUUGUUGGUGUGGUGAAAUAUUAGGAGGCAAUCCAGUUAAGUGAAAAGGUAGAGACUUUGGAGAGACAGAGUGGAAUUGGAAUCUAGGUCAAGUCAUUGAUUGGCUGCAUGAUCUUGGGUUCUGGACCUCUCUGAGUUUUCAUUUGCUCUUAGGCAAAAGGGCAGUGACAAAUCUCCACCUCACAGGAUUAUUUUGAGGACUAAAUGAAAUGUUUGUCCUAGCAUCUUACCUGGUAUGCAUAGUGCUGAGCAAAUGCUGAUUCUCUCCUCCCUUAUAGUGAUAUAAAAAUGGCAAGCACAGUAUUGAGGGGAAGUUAGAGUUGUCCCAGUAGGAUUCAGAGUGCCCAUGGAAGAUGAAGCUGGUAGGCAGUGCUUUCCAGUGGACUGUGUUAAAAAUGCAGGUAGUGGGAUUGGUGUUUAUAAUGGAAAUAGCCAAGUAGUUUUCCAGUUUGGAAAAUAACUGGCUGUGUUGAAAGCUGACUCAUUUGACAAAGUUUUCCACCGCCCCCCCGCCCCCCCCACACCCCAUGCCCUUUCCUGAGGAGGUAUCUUUGAUAAUUGUAUCUUAUCUCUAACAUCCUGUAUCUCUCUUCUCCCAGCAGAAUGUUAUGGCAGACAUACCUAAGGGGUAAAGGAGUGUUUAGAGCCCAAAUGAAGGACUGUGUCUUUUCCUCCUCUUUUAUUAGAUGAUUAUAAUGGCAUUUUCUCUUGGGACCAUGGAGAAUUGACUCCAUCAGGUAACCUGGGUUCAGGUGUUAGUCUGGGCGCUGACAACCCUAAUAUAGUUCUUGGUAAUUUUCAAAGAAGUUUUCAUGUGUAUUUUCUCAGAUCCUCAGGCUGACACAAUUGUUGUGGUUCUUAAUCCUGGCUACACAUUAUAAUCACCUAAGAGUUCAAAACAAAACCAAACAACACCAAUGUACUGACAGCUAUGCCUGAGUUUAGACAAACCAUAUUUGGACAUGAGUCUUGAGAAUUGUGAUUUUGUUUAAAAUUUACUAGGCAAUUCCAAUGUGCCAUUAGGGUCUAGUAUCACUGCUUAUUUUGACACCAGAUAUCCCAUUUCUUUGAAGAGUUAAUUUUCUUGUCCAAGGUUGUAAAGAAAGAAGAAAGGUAUUAUGAAUCCUAAUCUAAGCCUUUCCACUAUAGCAUAUUGCCUCUCUACUCAUGAUGUGAUCUGGAAACUUCAAGAAACAAAACAUUUUGAAAAUUACAAAGCACUGUAAUAAGGUUAAUUUUUUAGUGGCCAGACUAAUACCAGAACACAGAUUACCUGAUGGCAGUCAAAUGUCCAUGGUCCCAAGGGAGAAAAUGCCAUUGUAUUUAUCUGAUAAAAAAGAAGGUAGCAUCUUAUUCAAAACCUCAGUUUUCUUAUCUGUAAAGUGGGAUAGGAAUAUACUGCCUAGACAAUCUUUCCUUGAAAGAACAUUAGCAUUUGGUAAGGAAGGGGUUUGCCAUUUUGUCUCUUAAUGAAGAUAAGUUGAGUUUUGACAUUUCAGUGAAAGUUAUCCUCAAUUCUGUAGGGUGUUGCUGACGUUUUCUUGGUAUAUAUUAGGGUGUUAUUGACCAGAUAACCUGAAUAUGGCUAUAAAAGAUGCAAGAUAAAGUAAGGAAAAUUAGUGGAUAUGUGUCAACUUUCAUACAUGUGGCAUCUCCUUGACAAGGGUUUGUUCCAACCUCCAGGAGCUAUCUAAUACACUCUGGGGGAUACUUUGACCAUUAGGAAGUCCUUUCUGUAGCUGAGCCUAAGUCCAUUGCCUUGUAUCUCCCAGGAAGCAUCUUGGUCUUGGCCACAGAGAAAGCUAGCUCCACUUUCCCCAGGACAACCCUGAAGAUCCUUCUCCAGGAUGAAUCAACUAUUCUGCAGGGGACAUUCUUGUCAGUCUCCUUUCCAACAUGCUUGCUGCUUCCUAUCCUAGAUCUGUUUUAGAGGAGCUAUAAGUAACUCUUUCUCCUCUUUUCCCUUUUUGCAGUCCUGUCUGGAUUAGUGAUCUUUCAUACCCCAGAAAGAUAUUUUGGCUUUCCCAAAGGUGUGGCAUGUGUAGCCUUAACCUUUUUUAUUUUAUUUUAUUUUUCAGUUACUUUCACAUUACAGGAAGGUAGAGAAUUGAUUGCCUCUUAUUUUCCUGGUCAUGAUGCAUUUCCUGGUUAGCAGUGAGAUGGGUAACAUAAAGGCUUUGGAUUCAGGCAGACCCAGUUCAAGUCCUGCCUCUGUCAUUUCCAAGAGUAUGAACAAGUUAUGUCAUCUUUUUAAAGUCUGAAUUUCUCCUCCAUAACGCCCUAUCUUAGAGGGCCACUGUCAUGAUCUAGAAGGUAUAAGGUGCGUUUAACAUAGUAAGUGGUCAAUACAUGGUAACCUGUGCUCUUAAAGCCAUUAUGAUCAUUAUCCUAACUAUUUGAAAGUAAGGUGACAGAGAUGAGUUUUCUCCAUCUGUCAACUACUGUUAAAGUGUUUCUUCAUUCAGAGGCACCUUAGGUGUUAGAGGUGACUGCAGGUGGGUCCAAACACCUGGAGCUGGUGGCUGGAGCUUCACACAAAUCUACUACCUUCUUCCUCUUCCCUCAACCCUUUACCAUAGAGAUGGUAGUUACUCCCUGAAAUGCCACAAUUAGAACUUUGUUCAUUUAUUUUAGGCCUCUGACUUCUGUUAAUCUGCAAAAUUUCUUGGGAAAGAAAACACUUGAAAUUGUUCUUAAUUAUCAGUAUCUAAAUGUCAAUAAACGUUAGGUCCUUUAUAGAAAGCCCAUCUUGAUGGAGUGAAAGAAGAACUUUCAGACAAGAAUGAGGGGUAAUGUCACCUGGGACCAAGAUAUAUGUUUUUAAACAU